rnacentral:rRNA from 1 species
GACGAACCGUGCAAACGUUGUUCGGAAUCACUGGGCUUAAAGGGCGCGUAGGCGGGCAAGCAAGUCCGGGGUGAAAUCUUUCGGCUCAACCGGAAAAGUGCCUUGGAUACUGCUUGUCUGGAGGGAGGUAGGGGCAUGCGGAACUUCUGGUGGAGCGGUGAAAUGCGUUGAUAUCAGAAGGAACGCCGGUGGCGAAAGCGGCGUGCUGGACCUCUUCUGACGCUGGAGGCGCGAAAGCUAGGGGGAGCAAACGGG